GACUCUAGUACGAGAGGACCGAGUCGGACGUACCGCUAGUGUAUCUGUUGUGCCGCCAGGUGCAGCGCAGAGUAGCUAUGUACGGACUAGAUAAGCGCUGAAAGCAUCUAAGCGCGAAGCUAUCCUUAAGAUGAGUGUUACUGGGGUCGUAGAAGACUACUACGUUGAUAGGCUAUAGGUGUAAGCGUAGUAAUACGUUCAGCUGAGUAGUACUAAUUACCCCUUAGCUUCCUUUU
rnacentral:rRNA from 1 species